GACAUCGGGAGCCUGGGUGAGGGGCUGAAUGACUGCAGCACCGCCUGUCAGCUCCAGACCUCUUCCAAAAUCGCACGGAUUGUGUACAGGAACUUCCCCCUGGAACACACCGUCGAUUUCAUGAUGGCCAUCAAGGACACCUUCCGGAAGGCCAAAGGAACGCGUGUGCGUGCUGCUGGGAGGUGGAUGAUCACCUUUCUGCAGAUGUAUGGAAAGGACAUCUGUCAAGACGUGCCACUGACCACCUACAUCCUGCACAGCUGCAGAUCAUCCCCGCAGCAGAGCACGUUCACGCCAUUCCUGUCCCAGGCGGUGGUCAUCCUCACCCGCUGUCAUGCAGACAUCACGAUUGACAGCUUCUUUCCGGCUGCUUUGGGCCCACAGACAGUGAGACUUGGAGGAGAAUAAGAGAGUUUUGACUUCAAUGGUGGAGCUGGGAGAAGAAAAAAAGAAGAAAGAGAAGGAAAGAGGAAAAAGGAAAAAGGAAAAAGGAAAAAAGGAAAAAGGAAAAAGGAA
rnacentral:lncRNA from 1 species